UACGUAGGGUGCGAGCGUUUAAUCGGAAUUACUGGGCGUAAAGCGUGCGCAGGCGGCUUCGCAAGUCAGGCGUGAAAUCCCCGGGCUUAACCUGGGAAUGGCGUCUGAAACUACGGAGCUGGAGUGUGGCAGAGGGAGGUAGAAUUCCACGUGUAGCGGUGAAAUGCGUAGAUAUGUGGAGGAAUACCGAUGGCGAAGGCAGCCCCCUGGGUCAAGAUUGACGCUCAUGCACGAAAGCGUGGGGAGCAAACAGG
rnacentral:rRNA from 1 species